rnacentral:rRNA from 1 species
UGGGGAAUAUUGGACAAUGGACCAAGAGUCUGAUCCAGCAAUUCUGUGUGCACGAUGAAGUUUUUCGGAAUGUAAAGUGCUUUCAGUUGGGAAGAAGAAAGUGACGGUACCAACAGAAGAAGCGACGGCUAAAUACGUGCCAGCAGCCGCGGUAAUACGUAUGUCGCAAGCGUUAUCCGGAUUUAUUGGGCGUAAAGCGCGUCUAGGCGGCAUAGUAAGUCUGAUGUGAAAAUGCGGGGCUCAACUCCGUAUUGCGUUGGAAACUGCUAUGCUAGAGUACUGGAGAGGUAAGCGGAACUACAAGUGUAGAGGUGAAAUUCGUAGAUAUUUGUAGGAAUGCCGAUGGGGAAGCCAGCUUACUGGACAGAUACUGACGCUAAAGCGCGAAAGCGUGGUAGCAAACAGG